rnacentral:rRNA from 3 species
AGAGUGACGGGCGAUAUGUACACAUCUCAGAGCCAACUUCAAUUAUCUUUUCUUAAAAUAAUUUACUGACAAAUCCACCUUCAGAAAGGAAUUACACCUUAAAUCCGUAUUAGUAACUCUAAUUGUAGCUCAUCCGAAACUUAGCUAUAGACUGCACCUUGACCUGAAGUAAAAAAUCUAUAUUUAUUGAAAACAUCCUAUUGGAGUAAUCUGACAACGGCGGUAUACAAGCUGAAAAACCAAGCUAAGUAAGAUUUAUCGGGGAUUAUCGAUUACACGACAAGCUCCUCUGUGAGGUUAAGAUGCCGCCAAAAUCUUUGGGUUUGAAGAACAACUUUUACUACCCUGACAAGUAAUUGGGCUGGAAUAACAGGGUAUCUAAUCCUGCUUUUUUAAGCCAGCUUUAUUAGAGUUUGACAAAAUUAUAAGGACUCCUAAACGAUUGUGCAAAUUCCACCUUGAGAAUAGUUCUAAUCACUCCUUAUUAAAUUCCUCGAUCAUCUAAACUUCAUCUAUUAUUCUAUUUGAGUCCGCCGUCUAACCGCGACGGG